AGGACGAACGCUGGCGGCGUGCUUAACACAUGCAAGUCGAGCGGAAAGGCCCUUCGGGGUACUCGAGCGGCGAACGGGUGAGUAACACGUGAGCAACCUGCCCUUAGCUCUGGGAUAGCUCCGGGAAACCGGAAUUAAUACCGGAUAUGACCUAGGCCGACAUCGGCCGUGGUGGAAAGUUUUUCGGCUAGGGAUGGACUCGCGGCCUAUCAGCUAGUUGGUGGGGUAAUGGCCUACCAAGGCGACGACGGGUAGCCGGCCUGAGAGGGCGACCGGCCACACUGGGACUGAGACACGGCCCAGACUCCUACGGGAGGCAGCAGUGGGGAAUAUUGGACAAUGGGGGCAACCCUGAUCCAGCAAUGCCGCGUGAGUGAUGAAGGCCUUAGGGUUGUAAAGCUCUUUCGCCCGCGACGAUGAUGACGGUAGCGGGAGAAGAAGCCCCGGCUAACUUCGUGCCAGCAGCCGC
rnacentral:rRNA from 1 species